UACGUAGGGGGCAAGCGUUGUCCGGAUUUAUUGGGCGUAAAGAGCGUGUAGGCGGCCAGGUAGGUCCGCUGUGAAAACUCGAGGCUCAACCUCGAGAUGUCGGCGGAAACCAUCUGGCUAGAGUCCGGAAGAGGAGAAUGGAAUUCCCGGUGUAGCGGUGAAAUGCGUAGAUAUCUGGAGGAAUACCGGUGGCGAAGGCGGCAUCCUGGACCGGCAUUGACGCUGAGGAGCGAAAGCCAGGGGAGCAAACGGG
rnacentral:rRNA from 1 species